GACGAACGCUGGCGGCGUGCUUAACACAUGCAAGUCGAACGGAAAGGCCUGCUUUCCCUUGUGGAUUGCGGGUACUCGAGUGGCGAACGGGUGAGUAACACGGGAUUUAUCUUCCCCCAACUUGGGUAUAAGCCUGGGAAACUGGGUCUAAUUCCCGAUAGUACUGCAGGGUGGUGCCUGUGGUGGAAAACGAUUUUCUAGUGGUUGGGGAUGAGCUCGCGGCCUAUCAGCGUGUUGGUGGGGUAAUGGCCUACCAAGGCGGCGACGGGUAGCCGGCCUGAGAGGGUGGACGGCCACAUUGGGACUGCGAUACGGCCCAGACUCCUACGGGAGGCAGCAGUGGGGAGUAUUGCACAAUGGGCGGAAGCCUGAUGCAGCGACGCCGCGUGGGGGAUGACGGCCUUCGGGUUGUAAACUCCUUUCGACCGCGAGGAAGCCACCUGGUUGGAAGGGUGGUGACGGUAGUGGUAGAAGAAGCACCGGCUAACUACGUG
rnacentral:rRNA from 1 species